CGGUUUACACAUCAAUAACCUCUAGAAAAAAUGUGUUUAAUCCUUAUAAUUCUUCAGUCAAACAUUUGUGAUAUUUAAUAAACAUUUGUUUUGUUGAUGGCUACUAUAUUUAACCCUCUUGCUGCCGAGUUUUUUUCUUGCUUUGUCGCGCCAAAAGCAUCUUGACGUUUCUUAUCUGUGACGUUGCAAAACUUGUGCCUAUCUGUGUGCCUAUCUGUAGAACUGCGCUUUCCCGCCGUCCAUAAUUUUUCCCGCGUCAAUGUAGCCGUAAUUAUGAAAACGAUGUAUAAGUUAUUUUACGGAAGUUAAAUAUGCUCUAAGAUUGUCAUAAACGAUGUUUUUAAUACAAGAUUAUUUACAAAUACAACUUUUAACCUUGGAAUAUAUAUUUUUU
rnacentral:lncRNA from 1 species